rnacentral:sRNA from 1 species
UUAGCUGUGGUGUAAUCAGUACAGUCUGUAUACUGACUCAGUUGUGCUCUUUCCUCUCUCUCCCCCUCUGAGCUUGUGCUGAAUUAUGUGACUGCAAGGUGCCACAGAUGGCACAGUCUUUUCUUCACUUUUUUCUUUAUUUUUCUUUUCAGAAUACUCACUUUUUCUCUUUUCUUUUGUCUGUCUCAUCUGUUUUUCUUUUGUUGUUAGAAGUACAGACAGUUCUCAGAUCAACUGAGAAAGUUAUCUCUUUUCAUUUACUAUAAAAUCUUUCAGACACAGCAGCAGCAGUCCUCUUGAGAAUCACACUAUAGCUCUAUCAUGAAUAAUCAUACAUCA